CGUUGACUUACGAGAAUAUCGUAAAUCGAGAAAAUGAAGAUAAAGGAAGAGUUAGAAACGAAUUGUUCGGACUUUACAAUUGAACGAACGGAAGAAAAUUUUGAAGUUGAUUUUAAAAAUAUCAAGAGAGAAUUUAAUACGGAUGUCAAGUGUUAUAAAACAAUUUAAUCGGAACCUUUAAAGAUAAAUAUUAAAGGAAAACCAAUUUCCACACGCAACACAAACGGAUCCACUAUUUGGAGUCAUUCUAAUUAUAUAGUUGGAAAAGAUAUAAAGAAAGAAG